rnacentral:rRNA from 1 species
CGCAAUGGGCGGAAGCCUGACGGAGCAAUACCGCGUGAGGGAUGACGGCCUUUGGGUUGUAAACCUCUUUUAUCAAGGAGGAAGUUCUGACGUGUACUUGAUGAAUAAGCAUCGGCUAACCCCGUGCCAGCAGCCGCGGUAAGACGGAGGAUGCAAGUGUUAUCCGGAAUCACUGGGCGUAAAGCGUCUGUAGGUGGUUUAAAAAGUCUACUGUUAAAGAUUGAAGCUUAACUUCAAAGAUGCCGUAGAAACUUUUAAACUUGAGUAUGGUAGGGGUAGAGGGAAUUUCCAGUGGAGCGGUGAAAUGCGUAGAUAUUGGAAAGACCACCAAUGGCGAAGGCACUCUACUGGGCCAUUCCUUACUUUUAACACGAAAGCGU